GACAGAGGGUGCAAACGUUGCUCGGAAUUACUGGGCGUAAAGCGCGUGUAGGCGGGUCGGUAAGUGAGGUGUGAAAUCCCCGGGCUCAACCCGGGAACUGCACUUCAAACUGCCGAUCUUGAGUGCCGGAGAGGGUGGCAGAAUUCUUGGUGUAGAGGUGAAAUUCGUAGAUAUCAGGAGGAACACCGGUGGCGAAGGCGGCCACCUGGACGGCAACUGACGCUGAGACGCGAAAGCGUGGGGAGCAAACAGG
rnacentral:rRNA from 1 species